UGCCUAAUACAUGCAAGUCGAGCGGGGUUAUUUAGAAGCUUGCUUCUAAAUAACCUAGCGGCGGACGGGUGAGUAACACGUAGGCAACCUGCCCACAAGACAGGGAUAACUACCGGAAACGGUAGCUAAUACCCGAUACAUCCUUUUCCUGCAUGGGAGAAGGAGGAAAGACGGAGCAAUCUGUCACUUGUGGAUGGGCCUGCGGCGCAUUAGCUAGUUGGUGGGGUAAUGGCCUACCAAGGCGACGAUGCGUAGCCGACCUGAGAGGGUGAUCGGCCACACUGGGACUGAGACACGGCCCAGACUCCUACGGGAGGCAGCAGUAGGGAAUCUUCCGCAAUGGGCGAAAGCCUGACGGAGCAACGCCGCGUGAGUGAUGAAGGUUUUCGGAUCGUAAAGCUCUGUUGCCAGGGAAGAACGUCUUGUAGAGUAACUGCUACAAGAGUGACGGUACCUGAGAAGAAAGCCCCGGCUAACUACGUGCCAGCAGCCGCGGUAAUACGUAGGGGGCAAGCGUUGUCCGGAAUUAUUGGGCGUAAAGCGCGCGCAGGCGGCUCUUUAAGUCUGGUGUUUAAUCCCGAAGUUCAACUUCGGGUCCCCACUGGAAACUGGUAAAGCUUGAAUGUCAAAGAAGAAAAUGUGUAAUCCCCCCGUAUCGGUGAAA
rnacentral:rRNA from 1 species